rnacentral:rRNA from 1 species
AUGGCUUGGGAUUCGUCCGUUCUUUCCGGGCAGAUCAUUGCUACAAAUAAGUACCAUAUCACCGUUAGGCUGUCAUCUACAUCAUCCAAUUCCGCUUAUAUUGUCACCACAAUAUACGCGCCUUGCAUUGCUCAGGAGAGGCCGCUUUUCUUUGAAGCAGUUGACACCACAGUGGGUAUAGUUUCUGAACCUUGGUUGGUCCUUGGUGACUUCAACAUGUAUCGGUUCCAGGAUGAGAAAUCGCGUGGACGUGUGGAUUGGGCUAUGAUGGAAGUGUUUAACGACUGGAUCAGAGGUCAUGGUUUAGAUGAUGUGGAGGUUUCUAACAGGAAUUUUACUUGGUCUAACAAGAGAGAACAUCCAACACUGGUUCGGCUGGACCGAGUUCUUGUGAAUGCUCAUUGGCUCUUAGCUUUUGCCCAGUCCUCGGCCUCAGUGGUGCCUUCUGUUACCUCGGAUCAUGUGCCUAUUCUAGUGGACUUUAACAAUUUGAGGAGUCGGAGUAGGUUUUUUCGAAUGGAAAAUCACUGGCUUGAAAUGGAGGAAACUAGAGCAGUCAUUGGUAAUAGCUGGAGACGUGGUACUAGGCAGAUCUCCUCUGCUGCCUCUCUUCUCAACUUCAAAAUGGGACGUGUGCGUACUGCCCUCAGGCAAUGGAAAAGGAACAGAGCGAGCUUGGACUUACUGAUAAAUAACAACAAGGUUGUAGUAGACUAUCUCAAUGCUGUCGAGGAGUGA